UAAGGAAUCUUCCACAAUGGGCGAAAGCCUGAUGGAGCAACGCCGCGUGCGGGAUGAAGGCCUUCGGGUUGUAAACCGCUUUUAUUAGCGAAGAAUAUGACGGUAACUAAUGAAUAAGGAUCGGCUAACUCCGUGCCAGCAGCCGCGGUCAGACGGAGGAUCCGAGCGUUAUCCGGAGUGACUGGGCGUAAAGAGUUGCGUAGGCGGUUUAUUAAGCAGAUAGUGAAAUCUCAGGGCUCAACCUUGAGGCUAUUAUCUGAACUGGUAAACUUGAGAAUGAGAGAGGUAAUUGGAAUUCCCAGUGUAGCGGUGAAAUGCGUAGAUAUUGGGAAGAACACCAAUGGCGUAGGCAGAUUACUGGCUCAUUUCUGACGCUAAGGCACGAAAGCGUGGGGAGCGAACCG
rnacentral:rRNA from 1 species